UAGAAGUUUAAAAGCAGCUGUCACACACAUUUUCACUAAGUGCAGUUUGCAGCUUGAUAAAGGAAGUCCUAUGUGGAGAUAUUAAUAAGCUUGAAUGUAGUAUCGGAAGUUUAUAAUGCAUGGCUAGGGAACUGAGGCUAAGGGAGUUAUGUGCUGUGCAUGAUGAGAACUCAAUGCUCAUUAAUGCUGUUAAUGUUUAUAAAUAAAUUAAUUAAACCAAUAGCAUUGUUUUUUAGGUUUCACUGUGCAUUUUCAUACCAAUAGAAUUACACAUCAUUCUAAUUAUAGCAAUAAUAAAUUUGUACUAAUCAUACCUACAAAUUUUGUUAUGCUAUGCUUUGUGAUGUAUUAACUUCAUUGUAAGUUAUUAUUUAAAGACAAUUUUACUAAAUAUUUAAAACAAUACUUGAAUUAUUUGCUAUAUACAUUUUCAUUAUGUGCUUUAACUGUAGCUGACCAGUUGAUGGAAGAUACUGCAGAGUUUGGCAGGGAAAUAACCCAAGACAGCAAAGCGGCUCUUUUGGCGCAUUUACCAAGAGGACUAACAUGGCCACAAAUUCAUGAGAUCAUGCAGGAGCCGUACAGUAUAACAGCAGUACAAGUUCUAUAAAAGAUCCACGACCUACUGAAGCCCAGCUAAUUAACAAAAAAGUUUUUAAAAACUGUAAUUUUAUCCCACCUGGGUACUUAUAAUUUACUAAGCUGCCUUCACAAGUUUUAGACUUGCAAUUAUAUUUUAAACUGUCACUUGGAAAGUAAUACAUGUACAUGCAUUAUGUUCUGAAUUUCUUUGAACAAUAAAAUUAUAUAAAAGUAUUUUAAUGAAAUUGAGCACCUAAAUUGCAUUAAAGUGAAAGUAGCUGAGAAAAAUAGUAUCCUUGUGCUCAUGGGCAGCUACAUAUAUUGUGACAAACAUGUAGUAGCUAAAAUAACUUAAAUUUUUCAUUUUGUUUCUUGUAUAUCGUUUGUACAGGGUUCGUGAAUUGUUACUGUAUAUUACUUGACUUGCUUGUAUUUUGUUACUUUGAAUACAUGUUGUUAAGGUUGCAUUAUACUUUUUAACUUUUAAAGUAGCGCCUGUUCUGUUAUGUAAGGGCCUGAUUUAUGAUAAUGGACCUAGAGGCUUUGUAAGCAUGUAUUAAACAACACUUGUUUGAUCUGAAUAAUUUGUUAAAUAAAUGUAACACAAUUUGUAAUCUGAUGUUAUAUUUUGAUGAAUUGUGAACAAAAUAAUACAUCGAAGAAACUAA